GACGAACGCUGGCGGCGUGCCUAAUACAUGCAAGUCGAACGCAGUGGGAGCGGGUGAGUAACACGUGGGUAAUCUCCGAUCAGAGGGGAUAAAACUUGGAAACCGGUGCUAACCCUCUACUGGUGGAUGGACCAGGGGUGCAUUAGCUAGUUGGUGAGGUAACGGCUCACCAAGGCCAUGAUGCAUAGCCGACCUGAGAGGGUGAGCGGCCACACUGGGACUGAGACACGGCCCAGACUCCUACGGGAGGCAGCAGUGGGGAAUCUUGCGCAAUGGACGAAAGUCUGACCGAGCAAUGCCGCGUGAGUGAAGAAGGUUUUCGGAUCGUAAAGCUCUGUUGUUAGAGAAGCGGUAUCUAACCAGAAAGCCACGGCUAACUACGUGCCAGCCGCCGCGGUAAUAC
rnacentral:rRNA from 1 species